rnacentral:rRNA from 1 species
AGAGUUUGGAUCCUGGCUCAGGAUUAACGCUGGCGGUAUGCCUAACACAUGCAAGUCGAACGGAAUACUCGAAAAGAGAAUCUCACACUAGUGAGAGGUUCUCCAACCGAGUAUUUAGUGGCGGACGGGUGAGUAACACGUUGGAACCUGCCCCGAAGUGGGGAAUAACUGCUCGAAAGAGUAGCUAAUACCCCAUAGUAUCCGGUUUAUCCGGAUUAAAGAUUUAUCGCUUCGGGAGGGGCCUGCGUCUGAUUAGCUUGUUGGUGGGGUAAAAGCUCACCAAGGCGACGAUCAGUAGCUGGUUCGAGAGGAUGACCAGCCACACUGGGACUGAGAUACGGCCCAGACUCCUACGGGAGGCAGCAGUGAGGAAUCUUCCACAAUGGACGAAAGUCUGAUGGAGCAAUACCGCGUGCAGGACGACGCUUUUCGGAGUGUAAACUGCUUUUGUCGUCGAAGAUUAUGACUGUAGACGAAGAAUAAGGACCGGCUAACUACGUG